UCAGAACGUUGUAUUUUAACCGGAAUCCGGUUACCGGAUUAUGGUAAAUUUUAUUCAUGCAUUACUAGGGCAUGCCAUUCAGCUCCAAAAUGUCCUUUUCCAAGUGGUAUCGUUUGUGCUUGACAAGCAAGGACAAUUGGACAAAUAAAAAAGAAACCGUUUCUACCCUGAAGUGAAGGUUCACUAAAGGUCUUCCACAGUAUACCACCAGGUAUGGAUUGCCAAGCCCAGGAUUUCCACAUUCCAGACUGGAGCACAUAUUUGAAGAAGUCCACUGUAACUCAGGUCAUAAAUCAAGGAAGUAACGCUCAAAGCUUAAAAACAAAAAGAGAGACUCCUAACAACCUCACAGAAUAUUACAUAAUCCAAAACAAUAGCUAAGAUCAAACAUCUGAACAUGAAAUUGAAUUUCAACCACACAGUCUCAUCUGCUUAUCUGUUAUCUGGUUAUAGUUAUCUGACUAUCUGUCUCUCUAUCUAUCUAUCUAUCUAUCUAUCUAUCUAUCUAUCUAUCUAUCUAUCAGUCCAUUCAUUUUAUUAUCCAAGUCAUUCAGCUGGGUUGAGACUCAUUUCUUUGUCAGUUUAGGAAUACUGUUUGGUCAACAAGGCAUGGUCAGAGUAAUUUAGAAUACAAAUGAAAUAAUAUUGAAGUUUUUUUAAAGAAUUAUUUACAGAUAAUUGUUCUCUAAAUCAAUAACAUUCUUUAAUGUAAAUGAAGGUUUUGUAAUGAGCAAUACCACCUCAUACUUCUUAUGGACAAUACUAGUGAUUGUUAGAAAAUGUAUAACAAGAAAAUGGAAGUCCACCACCUUUCCAACUAUGGACGAUUGUCUGACCAUCCUUGAAGAAGUGAUUUCCAGAGAAACCAAGACGAAAGAAGUGAGAAUAAAUCCAAGAAAUUUUGUUAAUAAUCCUUGGAUAAAGGUUUAUUUUCUCACCAGAACAUUUUGUAUAGACCGUAACUCUUUCUGAAUUAUCUGAUGUUUAUUUUGCAAACUUUUUGCUAUUGUUUUAUAUUUUAUCAGUUUUGGGCCUCUGUAAAUAGUGUAUA